rnacentral:rRNA from 1 species
AUACGGAGGGUGCAAGCGUUAAUCGGAAUUACUGGGCGUAAAGCGUACGUAGGCGGUUCGUUAAGUUAGAUGUGAAAGCCCCGGGCUUAACCGGGGAACUGCAUUUAAAACUGGCGAACUAGAGUUGAGUAGAGGGGAGUGGAAUUUCAGGUGUAGCGGUGAAAUGCGUAGAGAUCUGAAGGAACACCAGUGGCGAAGGCGACUCCCUGGACUCGAACUGACGCUGAGGUACGAAAGCGUGGGUAGCAAACAGGAUUAGAUACCCUAGUAGUCC